AUUGAACGCUGGCGGCAGGCCUAACACAUGCAAGUCGAGCGGAUGAGAGGAGCUUGCUUCUCGAUUCAGCGGCGGACGGGUGAGUAAUGCCUAGGAAUCUGCCUGGUAGUGGGGGACAACGUUUCGAAAGGAACGCUAAUACCGCAUACGUCCUACGGGAGAAAGCAGGGGACCUUCGGGCCUUGCGCUAUCAGAUGAGCCUAGGUCGGAUUAGCUAGUUGGUGAGGGAAUGGCUCACCAAGGCGCCGAUCCGUAACUGAUCUGAGAGGAUGAUCAGUCACACUGGAACGGAGGACCGGUCCAGAUUCGUACGGGAGGCAGCGGUGGGGAAUAUUGGAAGAUGGGCGAAAGCCUGAUCCAGCCAUGCCGCGUGUGUGAAGCAGGUCUUCGGAUUGUAAAGCACUUUAAGUUGGGAGGAAGAGUUGUAGAUUAAUACUCUGCAAUUUUGGCGUUACCGACAGAAUAAGCACCGGCUAACUCUGUGCCAGCCGCCGCAGUAACAC
rnacentral:rRNA from 1 species